rnacentral:rRNA from 1 species
GUCAACGGCCAUACCACGUUGACAGCACCGGUUCUCGUCCGAUCACUGAAGGUUAGCAACUCGGGCGUAGUUAGUACUUAGAUGGGAGGCCGCUUGGGAACACUCCGUGCUGUUGACU